CUAGUUGGUGAGGUAAUGGCUCACCAAGGCAACGAUCCCUAGCUGGUUUGAGAGGAUGAUCAGCCACACUGGGACUGAGACACGGCCCAGACUCCUACGGGAGGCAGCAGUGGGGAAUAUUGCACAAUGGGCGCAAGCCUGAUGCAGCCAUGCCGCGUGUGUGAAGAAGGCCUUCGGGUUGUAAAGCACUUUCAGUCAGGAGGAAAGGUUAGUCGUUAAUACCGGCUAGCUGUGACGUUACUGACAGAAGAAGCACCGGCUAACUCCGUGCCAGCAGCCGCGGUAAUACGGAGGGUGCGAGCGUUAAUCGGAAUUACUGGGCGUAAAGCGUACGCAGGCGGUUUGUUAAGCGAGAUGUGAAAGCCCCGGGCUCAACCUGGGAACUGCAUUUCGAACUGGCAAACUAGAGUGUGAUAGAGGGUGGUAGAAUUUCAGGUGUAGCGGUGAAAUGCGUAGAGAUCUGAAGGAAUACCGAUGGCGAAGGCAGCCACCUGGGUCAACACUGACGCUCAUGUACGAAAGCGUGGGGAGCAAACGGGAUUAGAUACCCCGGUAGUCCACGCCGUAAACGAUGUCUACUAGAAGCUCGGGUCCUCGGACUUGUUUUUCAAAGCUAACGCAUUAAGUAGACCGC
rnacentral:rRNA from 1 species